CGCGUAGGUGGUUGUGUAAGUCAGAUGUGAAAUCUCGAGGCUCAACUUCGGAACUGCAUCUGAAACUGCAUGACUCGAGUACAGCAGAGGGAAACGGAAUUCCUGGUGUAGAGGUGAAAUUCGUAGAUAUCAGGAGGAACACCGGUGGCGAAGGCGGUUUCCUGGGCUGAUACUGACACUGAGGCGCGAAAGCGUGGGGAGCAAACA
rnacentral:rRNA from 1 species